GAUCCUGGCUCAGAACGAACGGUGGCGGUGUGCCUACUACAUGCAAGUCGAGCGGGCUUCGGGGCAACUCGAAGUUUAGCGGCGGACGGGUGAGUAAUAUAUAGAUAACCUGCCUCCGAGAGGGGGAUAACGCCCCGAAAGGGGUGCUAAUACCGCAUGAAGUUUUGACUCUGCAAGGAGUUGAAAUGAAAGUGGGGGAACUCUUCGGAGUCCUCACGCUUGGAGAGGGGUCUAUAUCCUAUUAGCUAGUUGGUGAGGUAAGAGCCCACCAAGGCAAUGAUGGGUAGCCGGCCUGAGAGGGUGUUCGGCCACAUGGGCACUGAGACACGGGCCCGACUCCUACGGGAGGCAGCAGUAGGGAAUAUUGGGCAAUGGGCGAAAGCCUGACCCAGCGACACCGCGUGGAGGAAGAAGGCCUUCGGGUCGUAAACUCCUGACACAUAUUAAGAAGGCAAGCUUGUGAACAAUGAGUUUGCUUGACAAAGGUAUGAGAGGAAGCCAUUGCAAACUCUGUGCCAGCAGCAGCGGUAAUACAGAGAUGGCAACCGUCGUUCGGAAUCACUGGGCUUAAAGAGCACGUAGGCGGGAUAUUAGGUUGGCUGUGAAAUCCCACGGCUUACCUGUAGGAAGUCAGCCAAAACUGGUAUUCUAGAGGCCGGUAGGGGAGAGUGGAAUUCCUGGUGGAGCGGUGAAAUGCGUUGAUAUCAGGAGGAACGCCGGAGGCGUAAGCGACUCUCUGGGCCGGCCCUGACGCUGAGGUGCGAAGGCCAGGGGAGCAAACGGGAUUAGGUACCCCGGUAGUCCUGGCCGUAAACGAUGGGCACUAAGUAGGGGGGCAAGUCCCCUCUGCCGGAGCGAAAGUGCUAAGUGCCCCGCCUGGGGAGUAUGGUCGCAAGGCUGAAACUCAAAGGAAUUGACGGGGGCUCGCACAAGCGGUGGAGCAUGUGGUUUAAUUCGACGCAACGCGAAGAACCUUACCUGGACUUGACAUUCUGGGAUUAGUCAGACGAAAGUUUGAUGACGAUCUUUCGGGAUUGGAACCAGAACAGGUGUUGCAUGGCUGUCGUCAGCUCGUGCCGUGAGGUGUUGGGUUAAGUCCCCUAACGAGCGAAACCUUUGUCCUUAGUUACCAACGGGUAAAGCCAGGGACUCUAAGGAGACUGCAGACGUUAAGUCUGAGGAAGGUGGAGACGACGUCAAGUCAUCAUGGCCUUUAUGUCCAGGGCCACACACGUGCUACAAUGGUCGGUACAGAGGGAAGCGAGACCGUAAGGUGGAGCAAAUCCCAAAAAAAUCCGAUCCCAGUUCAGAUUGAGGGCUGCAAUUCGCCCUCAUGAAGCCGGAAUCGCUAGUAAUCGUGGGUCAGCCACACCACGGUGAAUGUGUUCCCGAGCCUUGUACACACCGCCCGUCAAGCCACCGAAACAGGGGCGGCCUGAAGUCACUGACCCAACCCGCAAGGGAGGGAGGUGCCCAAGGAAGCCUUUGCGACGGGGACUAAGUCGUAACAAGGUA
rnacentral:rRNA from 1 species